GGGGAGUUAGCUAUAAUUGGCAGAGCAAUGGGCUGUUAACCCAUAGGUUGUCGGUUCGAACCCGACACUCCCCUCA
rnacentral:tRNA from 1 species